rnacentral:rRNA from 1 species
GGAGCCGUAGCGAAAGCGAGUUUUAACUGAGCGUUCAGUUACUUGACGUAGACCCGAAACCGGGCGACCUACCCAUGAGCAGGAUGAAGCGAAAGUAAAAUUUCGUGGAGGUCCGAACCCACGAGCGUUGAAAAGCUCGGGGAUGACUUGUGGGUAGCGGUGAAAUUCCAAUCGAGCCCGGAGAUAGCUGGUUCUCCCCGAAAUAGCUUUAGGGCUAGCCUCAAGGUGAGAGAUACGGAGGUAGAGCACUGAAUGUCCUAGGGGGUAUUGCACCUACCGAAGACUAUCAAACUCCGAAUGCCGUCAUCUUAUACUUGGGAGUCAGACUGUGGGUGAUAAGAUUCAUAGUCGAAAGGGCAACAGCCCAGAUCGUCAGCUAAGGUCCCUAAAUGUAAGUUAAGUGGUAAAGGAUGUGGGAUUGCACAGACAACCAGGAUGUUGGCUUAGAAGCAGCCACUCAUUCAAAGAGUGCGUAAUAGCUCACUGGUCGAGUGAUCCUGCGCCGAAGAUUUCCGGGGCUAAAACUUACUACCGAAGCUACGGCAUCAGUAAUGAUGGGUAGGGGAGCUUCCCAUACGGGUUGAAGCAUGACCGUAAGGACAUGUGGACAGUAUGGGAGUGAGAAUGUUGGCAUGAGUAGCGAGAUGUGGGUGAGAAUCCCACAGGCCGUAAACCCAAGGUUUCCAGGGGAAGG